ensembl:snoRNA small nucleolar RNA SNORD44
CCUGUAUGAUGAUAAGCAAAUACUGACUGAAUGUGAAGGUCUUAAUUAGCUCUAUCUGAUU